rnacentral:rRNA from 1 species
UGACCUCGGAUCAGGUAGGAUC